GAUGAACGCUGGCGGCGUGCCUAAUACAUGCAAGUCGAGCGAACAGACGAGGAGCUUGCUCCUCUGACGUUAGCGGCGGACGGGUGAGUAACACGUGGAUAACCUACCUAUAAGACUGGGAUAACUUCGGGAAACCGGAGCUAAUACCGGAUAAUAUAUUGAACCGCAUGGUUCAAUAGUGAAAGACGGUUUUGCUGUCACUUAUAGAUGGAUCCGCGCCGCAUUAGCUAGUUGGUAAGGUAACGGCUUACCAAGGCAACGAUGCGUAGCCGACCUGAGAGGGUGAUCGGCCACACUGGAAGUGAGACACGGUCCAGACUCCUACGGGAGGCAGCAGUAGGGAAUCUUCAGCAAUGGGCGAAAGCCUGACGGAGCAACGGCGCGUGAGUGAUGAAGGUCUUCGGAUCGUAAAACUCUGUUAUUAGGGAAGAACAAAUGUGUAAGUAACUAUGCACGUCUUGACGGUACCUAAUCAGAAAGCCACGGCUAACUACGUG
rnacentral:rRNA from 1 species